CGAUGAAGGACGUGCUAAUCUGCGAAAAGCGUCGGUAAGGUGAUAUGAACCGUUAUAACCGGCGAUGUCCGAAUGGGGAAACCCAGUGCAAUUCGUUGCACUAUCGUUAACUGAAUACAUAGGUUAACGAGGCGAACCGGGGGAACUGAAACAUCUAAGUACCCCGAGGAAAAGAAAUCAACCGAGAUUCCCCCAGUAGCGGCGAGCGAACGGGGAGCAGCCCAGAGUCUGAAUCAGCUUGUGUGUUAGUGGAACGGUCUGGAAAGUCCGACGGUACAGGGUGAUAGUCCCGUACACCAAAAUGCACAGGCUGUGAACUCGAAGAGUAGGGCGGGACACGUGGUAUCCUGUCUGAAUAUGGGGGGACCAUCCUCCAAGGCUAAAUACUCCUGACUGACCGAUAGUGAACCAGUACCGUGAGGGAAAGGCGAAAAGAACCCCGGCGAGGGGAGUGAAAAAGAACCUGAAACCGUGUACGUACAAGCAGUGGGAGCACCUUCGGGUGUGACUGCGUACCUUUUGUAUAAUGGGUCAGCGACUUAUAUUCUGUAGCAAGGUUAACCGUAUAGGGGAGCCGCAGGGAAACCGAGUCUUAACUGGGCGUUAAGUUGCAGGGUAUAGACCCGAAACCCGGUGAUCUAGCCAUGGGCAGGUUGAAGGUUGGGUAACACUAACUGGAGGACCGAACCGACUAAUGUUGAAAAAUUAGCGGAUGACUUGUGGCUGGGGGUGAAAGGCCAAUCAAACCGGGAGAUAGCUGGUUCUCCCCGAAAGCUAUUUAGGUAGCGCCUCGUGAACUCAUCUUCGGGGGUAGAGCACUGUUUCGGCUAGGGGGUCAUCCCGACUUACCAACCCGAUGCAAACUACGAAUACCGAAGAAUGUUAUCACGGGAGACACACGGCGGGUGCUAACGUCCGUCGUGAAGAGGGAAACAACCCAGACCGCCAGCUAAGGUCCCAAAGUCAUGGUUAAGUGGGAAACGAUGUGGGAAGGCACAGACAGCCAGGAUGUUGGCUUAGAAGCAGCCAUCAUUUAAAGAAAGCGUAAUAGCUCACUGGUCGAGUCGGCCUGCGCGGAAGAUGUAACGGGGCUAAACCAUGCACCGAAGCUGCGGCAGCGACACUAUGUGUUGUUGGGUAGGGGAGCGUUCUGUAAGCCUGCGAAGGUGACCUGUGAGGGUUGCUGGAGGUAUCAGAAGUGCGAAUGCUGACAUAAGUAACGAUAAAGCGGGUGAAAAGCCCGCUCGCCGGAAGACCAAGGGUUCCUGUCCAACGUUAAUCGGGGCAGGGUGAGUC
rnacentral:rRNA from 1 species